CUUGUGGGGGAGGAGGUCAGGCCCCACUAAAACUGGAACGAUACAGAGACGAUUAACACGGCCCCUGCGCAAGGAUGACAAGCAAAUUGGUGAAGCGUUCCAUAUUUUU